rnacentral:tRNA from 1 species
GACCUCGUAGCUCAGUUGGUAGAGCAUUGGACUAGUAUCCCAAAGGUAGCGGGUUCCAUUCCCACUGUGGUCA